UAAAUCACCUCAGCAUAAUUUAACUGGUCCU
rnacentral:piRNA from 1 species